AUCUGGCAGUCGGCGGCGCGUCUCUUUAUCAGGAAGCCAUUGAGAAGAAACUUGUGGACAAGCUGUAUCUCACAAAAAUCAGAAAAGAGUAUGACGCAGACGUCUUCUUUCCGAAGUACAACGAAGAAGAUUUCGUGGAAAUCAGUGACCCCCACGUUCCGGAGGGUGUGCUGGAGGAGGACGGCGUGGAGUGGACCCACCAUGUGCUUCAGAUGAAGUAGUCGCCUGACGCGGAUCGACGCUGGCAGUCCGCGGCUGAGAAAUGAACAAGUUAUUGGUGCACGGUUUUGUACUUGACAGCUUUUUCCACAUAUCCGUAGAGCUCGUCGAAGUGGUUUGUGUCCAGUGCAUUCUGGUACUUGGUCGUUUUUUCACAUAUCCGUAGAGCUCGUCAAGGUGUUUUGUGUCCGAUGCAUUCCGGUACUUGGUCAUGGUAUUUCAGGUAAGCGUAGGUGCUGAAGGGACCGGCUCUGAGUUCCGCACUGAAGCUGAAUGAAUAAAGU